rnacentral:tRNA from 1 species
GCCUAGUAUGCUCAUUGGAUGGGCGUUGGUCUGCAAAACUGAUGUAGUCAGUUCGAUUCUGACACUAGGCU